rnacentral:rRNA from 1 species
GGAAUAUUGGACAAUGGGGGCAACCCUGAUCCAGCCAUGCCGCGUGAGUGAAGAAGGCCUUAGGGUUGUAAAGCUCUUUCGGCGGGGAAGAUGAUGACGGUACCCGCAGACGAAGCCCCGGCUAACUCCGUGCCCGCAGCCGCGGUAAUACGGAGGGGGCAAGCGUUGUUCGGAAUUACUGGGCGUAAAGGGCGUGUAGGCGGUUUGCCGAGUCAGGCGUGAAAGCCCCGGGCUUAACCUGGGAACUGCGCUUGAUACGGGCAGGCUAGAGGUUGGAAGAGGAGAGUGGAAUUCCCAGUGUAGAGGUGAAAUUCGUAGAUAUUGGGAAGAACACCAGUGGCGAAGGCGGCUCUCUGGUCCACACCUGACGCUGAGGCGCGAAAGCGUGGGGAGCAAAC